rnacentral:tRNA from 1 species
UUACAUUAGUGUUGCGUGCUUAAUCUGUAUAGGUUAAUAGCGGUAGG